rnacentral:lncRNA from 1 species
GUGUUUGUGGAUCGGGCUGGGCUUCGCUUUGCCUGCAUAUCAACAUAAUUUAUAUAGAUUCUGGCUCGGUCUAGCUCGACCUUCCAAACCUAUCUUCCAAGUCCAAGCCAAAUCCUUACUCGAGCUUCGGGUUUUAAGUUGGAUCUCGGUUUUCUGGCUAAAGUAUAUGAAUGAUUAAAUAUUGCUGACAAUCUAAACAUGUUCUUCAUUCCAUUAAGUUCAUGUAUCAGCAACAAUUGUCAAAUAAGUAAAUAAAUAGAUCAAAUAGAAACAAACAAUACAAGAAAAAUAAAAAAUAUUCAGGCCAAGCUGGCUUUAAUCCUGAUGUCCGAGCCUGGUCUAUUU